GAUUUGGUAUGCCCUCAAGCCAGGCUCAAUCCUUUUGACGCAGCCCCACAUCCCCUGCCGAACACCGAGCUUUGCAAUUUCCCUUGGAAUCCCCAUUUCCUCAUGAUGGAACAGGAGCACCUCACAUGCGGUCAUUGAGCCAUCACCGUUUCUUGAUUCAACUGGACGGAUGCACCAACUAGAGUAGUACACGUCCACACGACGAGGUUUGUUGCACCUUGGAACAGAGGGGCGAGGCACACCCUUUGUUACACAGUAAUACGUCUU
rnacentral:misc_RNA from 1 species